GGCAAGGCUCAGUCAGAGAAAAGACAAGGGGAAAAUAAAAGAAAACAGAAUUCUCCAAUUCCCAUCCUCCUUCAAGCCUCCUGCUUCGUACCUAUGCCCAGAAAGGAAGUCUUUGCUGCUUCUGAAACUGCAUAGAUGGCUCCUGCACUGCCAGCUUCUCCAGUGUCUAGAGAGGUGUUCCCCAGAAGAGCUAACUGAGGAGGGAAGGUGUGGAGGCACCAUAGCACAGGCUCGUGUCCAGGAUGAAUACAAAGGGCGUGGUGAGGCGAACACCACAGUCUCUGCUUCCUGAAUGCAGAUACAAGUGACCAGAGAACAGGAGAGGACAUUGGAUCCCUGGAACUGGAGUUCUAGGUGGUUGUCAGCUGACACAUAGGUGCUGGUAACCAAAUCUGGGUCCUCUGGAAGGGCACCCAGU